GAGUAAUGUCUGGGAAACUGCCUGAUGGAGGGGGAUAACUACUGGAAACGGUGGCUAAUACCGCAUAACGUCGCAAGACCAAAGAGGGGGACCUUCGGGCCUCUUGCCAUCAGAUGUGCCCAGAUGGGAUUAGCUAGUUGGUGAGGUAACGGCUCACCAAGGCGACGAUCCCUAGCUGGUCUGAGAGGAUGACCAGCCACACUGGAACUGAGACACGGUCCAGACUCCUACGGGAGGCAGCAGUGGGGAAUAUUGCACAAUGGGCGCAAGCCUGAUGCAGCCAUGCCGCGUGUAUGAAGAAGGCCUUCGGGUUGUAAAGUACUUUCAGCGGGGAGGAAGGUGUUGUGGUUAAUAACCACAGCAAUUGACGUUACCCGCAGAAGAAGCACCGGCUAACUCCGUGCCAGCAGCCGCGGUAAUACGGAGGGUGCAAGCGUUAAUCGGAAUUACUGGGCGUAAAGCGCACGCAGGCGGUCUGUCAAGUCGGAUGUGAAAUCCCCGGGCUCAACCUGGGAACUGCAUUCGAAACUGGCAGGCUUGAGUCUUGUAGAGGGGGGUAGAAUUCCAGGUGUAGCGGUGAAAUGCGUAGAGAUCUGGAGGAAUACCGGUGGCGAAGGCGGCCCCCUGGACAAAGACUGACGCUCAGGUGCGAAAGCGUGGGGAGCAAACAGGAUUAGAUACCCUGGUAGUCCACGCCGUAAACGAUGUCUACUUGGAGGUUGUGCCCUUGAGGCGUGGCUUCCGGAGCUAACGCGUUAAGUAGACCGCCUGGGGAGUACGGCCGCAAGGUUAAAACUCAAAUGAAUUGACGGGGGCCCGCACAAGCGGUGGAGCAUGUGGUUUAAUUCGAUGCAACGCGAAGAACCUUACCUGGUCUUGACAUCCACAGAACUUUCCAGAGAUGGAUUGGUGCCUUCGGGAACUGUGAGACAGGUGCUGCAUGGCUGUCGUCAGCUCGUGUUGUGAAAUGUUGGGUUAAGUCCCGCAACGAGCGCAACCC
rnacentral:rRNA from 1 species